AGAAUCAACGCUGGCGGCGUGCCUAACACAUGCAAGUCGAACGAGAAAGUGGAGCAAUCCAUGAGUAAAGUGGCGCACGGGUGAGUAACACGUGACUAACCUACCCUUGAGUGGGGGAUAACCUAGAAGAAUCUGGGCUAAUACCGCAUAAUACCUUCGGGGUCAAAGGAGCAAUUCGCUUAAGGAGGGGGUCGCGGCCGAUUAGUUAGUUGGCGGGGUAAUGGCCCACCAAGACUAUGAUCGGUA
rnacentral:rRNA from 1 species